rnacentral:lncRNA from 1 species
CUCUUUUGUUAGUUUAUGCAAUUUAUAUUUUUUAAAUAUUUAUCCAUUUCACCUAGGUCAUCAUAUUUAUUGACAUAUAAUUGUGCAAAAUAAUGCAAAAUAAUUACCUUAAUUUCCUCUUCAUUAGAGGUGAGAUUGCCCUCUUCAUUUUUGAUUCUGUUUAUUUGAUUGUCUUUCUUUUUUUUAGUUUACCUCUGAAACCUAUGGGGAAUGGAAGAAUUAAUGACCAAAGAAGAGACUGAGAACAUUAUAAAAUAUAAGGACACUGGCCUGCUGGAUGUUCCAAAGACAAGACACUCCAUCUCUUGGCUCCAGCUUUUUAGCACAAUUGGGCAAGACACAUUAUCUCAGAUCAAUGAAUGCUAAGAACAACAUCUGAACAUCAUUACAGCUGCAUGUAAAACAUUUGUACCAGCCAGUUUGUUAAAUCAGCAAAUACACUUUCAGCAAAUGUUUGUAAUUGUUCAUAAAGGACUCCCUACUGCAGUGCUUUAUUAAGUGAAAAAUAUGGCCUGUUGUUUUCUUCAGCUUUUCAGGUCAGCAGAGAUUUGCCAAUAUAUUGUAAAUAAUGCUAAACAGCUGGAUAAUUGACUCAUGCUGUGUGAGUAUGAAGUCACACGGUUAUCUAUGACCCUGUAUUGUGAAUAAUUAUGGCAUGCUUAUUUAAAACAAUAUACUUCAGAAUAGAGAAUAUAAAAUCUAUACAUUUGUUUUUAU